ensembl:lncRNA novel transcript
AAAGGAAAUAAUUGCCUUAAAAGUUGUCUCACAGUUCUGAGAAUGACAUGAAACCAUAGCACCUCCAAUUGGACAUGACUUGAGGCAUCACCUUGUCAUCUACCUCUCUAAAGGAGACUUUGAGAGAGAUUGAGAGGGAAUCUGUUUUGUUUGUUUGUUUGUUUGUUUGUUUUGCAUUUUCCAGGUUUUAGAGGAUACUUACAUUUCUUGGCUCAUGACCCCUUCCUUCACUUUCAAAGUUAGUCAUGAUUGGUCAAGUCUUUCUCAUACUGCACCACUCUGACACUUCGUGUUUGUAGUCAAAUAGUCCCUCUCCUUUCCUCUAAUAACCAUUGUGAUUACAUUGGGCCUAUCCGGAUAAUACAGGCUAAUCUCCCUGUGAUGGUUAAUAUCGAGUAUCAACUUGAUUGGAUUGAAGAAUGCAAAGUAUUGUUCCUGGGUAUGUCUGUGAGGGUACUGCCAAAGGAGAUUAACAUUUGAGUCAGUGGACUGGGAGAGACAGGCUCACCCUCAAUCUGGGUGGGCACCACCUAAUCAGCUGCCAGAGUGGCUAGAAUAAAGCAGGCAGGAAAAGAUGGAAGAGCAGACUUGCUGAGCCUUUCAUCCUUCACCUUUCUAGCAUGCUGGAUGCCUCCUGCUCUUGAACAUCAGACUUCAAGUUCUUCAGCUGUUGGACUUUCGGACUUACCCCAGUGGUUUGCUUGCCACAGACUGAAGGCUGCACUGUUGCUUCCCUACUUUUGAGGUUUUGGGACUCGAACUGAUCCACCACUGUCUUCCUUGCUGCUCAACUUGCAGACGGCCUAUCGUGGGACUUUACCUUGUGACUGUUGAAUGAAAGAGAUCAAGAGAACUGAAUCUCUAAGCCACUACCCAUCUUCAUACAGGGUGGAAGAAUAUACAAGACAGAAGAUCUCAUUUAACUGAAAAUUUAACUUCGACUUUAAUAUUCCUAGAGUUUUUCUACACAUGAAAUAUUAGAAAACAUGCUACCUUGUAUGUGAUAAAAUUUAAAAAUGACAUGCUGCAUGUUUAAUAUUGAAUUUAUACUCAUAUUGCAUAUUCAUGAUUCAUUACACAAAUUUAUAUUUUACAGGUAUAUAACAGACAGAGUCAAUGAGAAUUACUGGCCAUAAAAAUAAUUUAUAGAGUAAAAGGCAAAGUAUAUUGUUAGUACCGGGGAAGAGCAUGCAUGUGAAUCAAGUUGCAGUGCUUAUUACUUGUAUGAACCUUGGGCAAGUUAUUUAAACUUUGUUAUUCAGUGUUCUCGUCUGCAAACUGGGUAUAAUAAGUAGCGUCAACUUCACGGGAUUGCUAUGAAGAUUAAUAAAUUAACAUUUAUAAAGUAUUGAAAUAAGGCCUAGCAUAUAAUAAGAUAUAGAUUAGUGUUUGUUAAAU